rnacentral:lncRNA from 1 species
AUGCCGUCAUCUACCUCCUCCACACCUCCCUCACUCACCUGGAGAAGGCUGGAAGCACUGAGGAUCAUGUUUUUUGAUUUCUCCAGUGCAUUCAACACCAUCCAGCCCAGGCUGCUGGGGGACAAACUGCAGGUUGCUGGGAUGGAUCACCACCUCACAACAUGGAUUUUGGACUACCUCACACAAAGACCACAGUUUGUGAGGGUGAAGGGCUCAGAGUCACAUCGGCUUCUCUGCAGCACUGGUGUCCCGCAGGGAACAGUUCUGGCUCCUUUCCUGUUCACCCUCUACACCGCGGACUUUUCACACAGUACAUCUUCAUGUCACCUCCAGAAGUUCUCUGACGACUCUGCUGCUGUCGGCCUCAUCACUGAUGGGGACGAUACGGAGUACAGAGAACUUAUUCAGGACUUUGUGGACUGGAGCCUGCGGAACAACCUCCAGAUCAACGCUGGCAAAACCAAGGAGCUGGUGGUGGAUUUCCGCAGGCGUAACAAACCCCCGCCUGCACCAGUGAACAUCCUGGGAACUGAUGUUGACGUGGUGGAGUCCUACAAGUACCUGGGUGUUCACCUAAACAAUAACCUGGACUGGACACACAACACAGACGCCCUUGUCAAGAAGGGCAAUAGCAGACUGUUCCUGCUCAGGAGGCUGAGGUCUUUUGGAGUGCAGAGACCACUCCUGAGGACUUUCUAUGACUCUGUGGUGGGAUCAGCCAUCUUCUAUGGGAUAGUCUGCUGGGCCAGUAGCAUCACGGACAGGGACAGGAAGAGGAUGGACAGACUGGUGAGGAGGGCCAGCUCUGUCCUGGGAUGUCCACUGGACUCGGUGGAGGUGGUGGGAAACGGGAGGAUGAUGGCUAAGCUGUCAUCCAUGUUGAACAACACGUCCCACCCCCUACAGGACACCCUGACAGUACUGGGCAGCUCAUUCAGUGAGCGUCUGCUCCACCCUUGCUGUGUGAAGGAGAGGUACCGCAGAUCUUUCCUGCCGGCUGCUGUCAGACUGCACAAUAAACAUAAUGCCCACUAA